CCUACGGGCGGCAGCAGUGGGGGAUAUUGCACAAUGGGGGGAACCCUGAUGCAGCGACGCCGCGUGGGUGAAGAAGCGCCUCGGCGCGUAAAGCCCUGUCAGCAGGGAAGAAAAUGACGGUACCUGAAGAAGAAGCCCCGGCUAACUACGUGCCAGCAGCCGCGGUAAUACGUAGGGGGCAAGCGUUAUCCGGAUUUACUGGGUGUAAAGGGGGCGCAGACGGCGAUGCAAGCCAGGAGUGAAAGCCCGGGGCCCAACCCCGGGACUGCUCUUGGAAAUGCGUGGCUGGAGUGCAGGAGGGGCAGGCGGAAUUCCUGGUGUAGCGGUAAAAUGCGUAGAUAUAUGGAAGAACACCAGUGGCGAAGGCGGCCGCCUGGCCUGUUGCUGACGCUGAGGCACGAAAGCGUGGGGAGCAAAUAGGAUUAGAUACCCCUGUAGUC
rnacentral:rRNA from 1 species